rnacentral:rRNA from 1 species
GUGGCGGACGGGUGAGUAACGCGUGGGUAACCUACCCUGUACAGGGGGAUAACAGUCAGAAAUGACUGCUAAUACCGCAUAAGACCACAGCACCGCAUGGUGCAGGGGUAAAAACUCCGGUGGUACAGGAUGGACCCGCGUCUGAUUAGCUGGUUGGUGAGGUAACGGCUCACCAAGGCGACGAUCAGUAGCCGGCUUGAGAGAGUGAACGGCCACAUUGGGACUGAGACACGGCCCAAACUCCUACGGGAGGCAGCAUG